rnacentral:rRNA from 1 species
UACGUAGGGCGCAAGCGUUGUCCGGAAUUAUUGGGCGUAAAGAGCUCGUAGGCGGCCAGUUACGUCCGCUGUGAAAUCCCGGGGCUCAACCCCGGGCGUGCAGUGGAUACGGGCUGGCUGGAGGCAGGCAGGGGAGAACGGAAUUCCUGGUGUAGCGGUGAAAUGCGUAGAUAUCUGGAGGAACACCGGUGGCGAAGGCGGCAUCCUGGACCGGCAUUGACGCUGAGGCGCGAAAGCCAGGGGAGCAAAGCGG